rnacentral:rRNA from 1 species
UACGUAGGAUGCAAGCGUUAAUCGGAAUUACUGGGCGUAAAGCGUGCGCAGGCGGUUAUAUAAGACAGAUGUGAAAUCCCCGGGCUCAACCUGGGAACUGCAUUUGUGACUGUAUAGCUAGAGUACGGCAGAGGGGGAUGGAAUUCCGCGUGUAGCAGUGAAAUGCGUAGAUAUGCGGAGGAACACCGAUGGCGAAGGCAAUCCCCUGGGCCUGUACUGACGCUCAUGCACGAAAGCGUGGGGAGCAAACAGG